CCUGUUAGAGACUGUUCACUAGCUACCUUGCAUAGGGAAAAUAUCUGCUGCAAAAUUGUUAAAAAUCUCAAUCAGUUAUAAUAUCUUUAUAUUUUAUAACUUGGAGUAUUUCUAAAGGUUGCUGUCUCUCCUCAGUGAUUAAAUGAUGCUUGGUCUUCUAAGGGUGUAUAUUUUUAGUUUAUUUCCAUCUGAAGAAAGCAUGCAGUGUCAUUAAUAAUGGUUGUGGAAAUGAUUUAAAAAUACUAUAUAUUGAUGGGUUCAUUAAGUUAUAUCAUUAAUGUUAAAAAAAAAAAAACUAUUUCUUUAAAAUUGAGUUAACAGUUAUACAUUUUCUAUUUUAAUGUUCUGUUUCCUUGUCUUAUUAUUUAUUUUUUUUUUUCCCUACAUUACUGAAUCAAACUCUUUGCCUUUGCUUUGAAGUUUGUUUGUUUUUUUUUUUUUUUAUUUUGAGUAUGGAGUACAGUUGUCUGCAGAGGGACCUAAGCUAUUGUUCUUAGGGGUGUAUAUUUUCUGUUAGAGAAAAAUAUUGUACUCUUUAAGACAGCGGUUGGUUUUCUAUGCAUAAUCACAUGUUCCUCAUUUUUCCCCUCCUUUUCUCUCCAUUCUUACACUGUGAGGCAGUGAAGAGGCAUAAGUGUGUGUUUUUGUAUCUCUGAUAGGUGGAACAAGAACUUGAGUAAAAUCCUCAUCAGUAUCAAAGGAAAUUAUGAUUUAGGAAUCAAAAUUCUUCAUAUCAAGUUGGAAAUUAUGGUGUCACAAAAUGUCUCAGUAUCUGGACAAAUAAUCAUUCAGCAGCAAUAUUAAAAUUGCUACAGCAAACACCUUUCUUCCCAAAGGAUCCUAAAGUGCCUUACAAAAUUAGGGCUUGUUCCUGCCCUGAUUGAAGUCAAUGGGAGCACUGCCAAUGGGAACAGCACUGGGCACUUAAGAAGCUAAUAAAAGCUGCAUUCAGACAUCACUUCUACCACUGAAAUGUGUAACUGUUCAAUUUACACAGCAAUACUCCCCAGUGUUUUAAGACAGGAAGUGAAUAUUACCAUAUGCAUAUUGCAAUUUUAAAAAAUAAAAUAUAAUUUUAAACGGAUAUCUGGCCCUAAUAUUAAAGUUAAUACCCUAGCUUUUGGUUAAGAGUUCUGUUUGAGACUUCAUCCAAAGUUUUGUAUUUUUUUCUGAAGAUUUGAAUAUUAGGUCCAGUAGUUCCAAUGGCUAAUAUCACUUUCUUUGUUCAUAUAUUGCAUACACAUAUUUUGGAGCUCAGAUUUGCAUUUUAUAUGCAAUAGUAUAAAAUAAUUUCAGAAAAAUGUAACAUGGAAAUAUAAGAAAUCUAUUAUAUAUUUAUUAUGCCUUUUUGCUGAUUAUUUUUUAAUUGCUACCUGAGGAAAGCUUGGUAUUGCGAUCAGUAUUUGGCAUAUACUUCCACACUCUUUCAUAUUACAUACUAAGCUGAUUGCUGAGAUAUAUCAAGGAAAGGCUUUGAUGUUCGUAUACCUGAGAUGCCAGUUGGAAGCAAGCCUUAUGCCAUGUAUUCUGAUCUUUUUUUGUCUAUUUUUAAUACAGGGCCUUUAAUAUAAAACUUGUCAGCUAUAAAAACAGUGGCAUGCUGUAAUGAAAAAAAAAAGUGGAAACUAAUGAACUAAUGCAGAUAUUCAUAAUACUAUGAAAAGGCCUGAAUUUUUUUUUUUUUUUCAUUCAGCCAUUCACACUGGUGAAAUACGAAAUAAUUAAAUUAUUUAACGAUUUUGAAAUUAUUAAAAUUUAACAAAUGAAAGAGGAAAACUUUCAAGACACAAUAAAAAGUUCUUAUCUGUGGGACUGUUUUGUUUGACUCUAGUUAGAUGCUUUAAGAUGUGACUGAAAAAUAAGCUGGUCCAAGAGUAACUAAGCAUCAGAACAACUUAUCUAACUAAUAUGUACGUGCUGCAUACUCCAAGAGAAGUUCGAGGUUACGGGGCUAGAUAAAUUCAACAUUAGUCUUACUGAAUCUGUCUAGUCUUUUUGAAUAAAUAUUUAUUAAAUAAUCUGGCAAAAUCAGAGAAGAUGCAGCUUUGCAUUUUUGACAUGUCCAAGAUGAGAAUACUCUGUACAGUUCAUUAAAAUACUAUAUUUACCUUAUUAAAAACAAACAAACAAACAAAACCCAGAUGUAAUCCCAAUUUGAAAGACUGUUCUCUUUUUCAUGCUGUACCUGCAUAAAAUAUUUGCAGUGUAACUGGAUUCCCUUGGCCUUCCAGAACAGAAGAUUAAAAAGGUACUUCAUAAAAGGGUGUUUCAGAGAAAUCACAGCACAUUGUAUGCAUCUGUUAUAUGGACGUGGCUUUCAAGUGUUUUUGAGUGUUAGAGGAUGGCACUCUAACUCUAAAGUUAGAACUUUAUUCAGAAUUGAUUCAUUAAGUUAGAGCUUAAUUUAGUUAGAACUUAAAUUUCUCUGUCUACUAGAAACACAAUAUUUUACAACCUUUUAUAACAAUAAGAACCUGGAAAUAUACAAAGUCUAUGUGGGAUGAACAGAUGCCAUGUUUUCUUACCUACGUUUCUGUAUAGAAGACUCACAUCUUAUCCAAAGGGAAUUUGACAUAAGUAAAAAUAAUUUGAAAUUAUUGUUCCAGAAAGCUACAGACAGAUAUGGAAAACAGCCAUUAAACAACCAAUUAUUUUCAUUUUCUUCGUAUGUGUUUUCAAUAAAAGUAUUAUAUUAUUAAUACUUUUAAUUAAGUCAUUAUUAUGCCAUAAACACAUUUUCUAGAUUAUAUUUCACAGAAAGACAUUAAUGUUGAUAUUAACUCUUUUACACAGACAAAAAAAGUAAGGAAGAAGUAACUAUGUAUGUGCUGAUGACAGGGCAGGAGGAAUUUAGCACUUUAGUCAAAAAUAGGAUUAGAUUUUAUCCUUAGGAUAGGAUUAGUGUGUGAUGUCAUGGUCACUUAAUAUGUUUCCUAUUGGAUCUUCCCUGAGGCCUGUUUUUGCAGUCCUUAAUCAGGCAAAACACCCAAAGAAAUCAGUGCACUUUUGCUUAGCACAGAAGUUUUCCGUCUCUUCUUUAGACUUCAAAUUAUUUAAUUCAUACAAAAUUAUAUAAUAAAGGGCUAAAUUACAGUUACUCAAGAAAAUUUAAAAUGAAGUCCUAUGCUUUUGAGGACCUGGGCCUAAACGACUAAUGCAAUAUUAAGAUCAUAUAUCUAUCUUGUAGUAGAAAUAAAUUAGUGAUUGUCAAAUUCUGCAUUCUUUGCUAAUUUCCAUCUUGUUUAGCAAAGCAUUGUAGGAUACGACCUUUAAAAUAGUUUGUAUUGUAUUUCUUCACUAAUAAAUAUUUUGUAAGACUUUACUGGGUACUAUAAUACUUUUUUCUUUUCAUUAAUUUUCCUUAAACAUGUUUUCAUUGGCAUAUCUAUAACCAUUAUGGGAAACAUAAACUUUGUAUUAGAAAGUGAGGUGAAAAUAACACUUUUUUUUUGACAUGCUCAGUAUAAGAAACCCUACACCUUUUUCCUGAUAAAGUACUUUUUUUCAAAUGUAUUUUCAAAUUUGUUAAAUAAAAAUCUUCCUGAUGAACAAAACAUGACUUUGCCUAAAAUAAAAACAAAUCCAAAUAUUCAACUUACAUAGUUUUAUACUGAGAAAUAACCUUUCUCAGAAGUGAAUAUUGCUCAGCAUUUGAAUGUGUAUCGCCAAUAUUGCCCCUCAAAAUAACAAAACCUAUCAGUAAAAACAUGGUUGAUCUAAACUGCUAGAAACAGUUGCAUUCAACUAUCUUACAGAAUGCAUUGCUUUGUACUCUUACAUUUAGUUAAUAUACUAUAGUAUUAAGAGUAUAAAAUACUUAUUUUCUUACACAGUCAUCUCAUAUUCGCAAAGCAUAACAGAUUUUACCAAUGCAUUGUUAAGUUUCAAAAUACUUUAAUUAAUAAUUAAAUAAUUCUUUAAGUUUUGUUUUAAUAGAUCUUUAAAAAGCCAUACUCAAAAACCUCAUGAAUUCAAGCAACAGUGUUUCACAGAAUGGUUUUGAAUAUGUUAUUGUCAAAUAUAAUGUGCAUUUUAAGUGCAGUUCUACAGCAAAAAUAACACUUUUAAUGGUUAAUAUAUUGCUGAUAUUCAGACUUGCAUGCUCUGCACAAUAUGAGUAAUUUUACUUUCAGAAAUUUAAUAGUAUAACCAAGAGCCACUAUGGGAGUAAAAUUGUUCAUAUAUCUAAGUAUUUGCAGGAUUGAGCCUUCAAUUUUUGAUUGUUUGAUCAAUUGGAAAAAGUGUACUGAGUAUUCACUGGAGCUCUUGACCUCAUAAAAUUGGUUCAUGUAUUUUUGUCUGACGGUUUCCUAUAACAAUUAAAAACCUCUUCACUUUGUACUUCAUCCUUCAAUGAGCAGAAAAGAAAGCAAAUAUCAAAUCAUAUUAAUACCUCAGAAGUACAGUGAGAUACUAAAUAAUCCAAAGACUGUCUUUAGAUUGAUAAUAUUUAUACUUGCAGUACUGAGCAUUAGAAACAUUGGAAAACAUCAUAUAUUAUAUACAUAACUUCGUAACUAUGGACACAUAUGCUAUGCAUACUUUUCAUUUUCUUUUAUACAGCAUCAUAGGUGUACAUGAUAUCUAUGUAUGCUUAUAUAUGUAUAUAAAAACCUCAUGUAUUUCAAAGCACAUUAGACUUGAAUUACUCAGCAAAGUGCCACCAUAAUGUAUCUGACAGUUUCACUGAAUUCUGUUAUGUUAGUUUAUUAAACAGUGUCAGAUAAUUUUCAUUGUUAUUGGUAAAUUUCUGGGGGGCGGGGGGGGGGAAAGCUGGGAUAUGUAAUUAAGAUUUUUCUUUCUGACAAAGAAGAACUAUCCUUGUGGUGCUCAGGCACUUCACAAGAGUAGAGUUUUUUUGCAAUACAAUGCCUCCUGCGGUGCAGUGAGGCAUGAAGCAAUACAAGAGGUAGAUGGAACUGAAAAAUGUCAUAUGAGGGAAUGCUACUUCAUAGGCAACAUUCACAAGGGGAAGACAGCUGUUGUUAUGAACUAUUAAAGCCAGCAGCAGGGUUUUCUUUUCUUUCAAGGUUUCAGAAGCCUGAGAUGGCAUUUCCUUCUAUCUUCUUCCCUCUGCUGUCUGUCCUCUUCCCUCUCAAAGGAGGUCUGCUCUGUUAGAUAGCUUUCAUUGUGGCAUGGACUGAAUCAUUAGAAUCAACUGCCUGUUGCUGCCCUCUCUUUUGCCCUUCAGUUAAAGAUUAUCUGGAACUGGACCUCAGAGUGCCAAAGAACAACUCUUCUGCUUAAAAAAACACUGUAGGCAGGACUAAAGAGAAGCAGCUAGCAAGCAAGCUGAAAACCUACUGAAAUGGCUGAAAAUGGAUAUUGUUUGGAGGGAGAUGCAUUUAUAAUUGUAUGUCUAUAGAAAUGCCACUAGAGAUAUUUGUAACUUGGUACAAUUGUAAAUUGUAUGAUUAUCAAGUUUAGAUACAGUGUCCUCUGAUUUUCAAGGGUGGAGUAGGGGAUGGGGAUGAAAAAGAAAAAAACUGAGGUAGCAUCAACUGUUCUUAUUAGACUACAUUCUAGUCCUUAGUUAUAUACACAUAACUUCUUUAACUUCAGUAGGUUUGUUUUGCUUAAAUCAAACUGUAUGUGGGACUAGCUGGGAGUAUGCUUAAAUUUCUAUAUAGAUAUGUCCAUAUAAAAAAAAUACAUGUAUAGAUUUCCACACUGUUUUUUACAGGUUUGUAACAAAAUAGUGGCCUAAAAUAUUGUUGCUAAAAAAAUGAUAUCUGUAAGGUCCAAGCUGUAUUAUCUGCAAAUGAUUUGUAUAACCAUUUCCUAUGAAGAUUAGUAUACAAUUUUUUGCCUUGAUUUUUCCAUGUCUUAUAAUGAUGAACUCUGUUGACAUUUCUGUCUGGCAGUAACUCCUGAUUUAGAUCAGACUAAGUGAAAGGAUGUGCAAAGGAUGUGUCCAGGCUGCAUUAGUCUGCUUCUUGAGGGGAAACACUUCAGAAUAAUGAAGAAUACCUUUAAAUUAGAUUGAUAUUCUACAUCUGGGAAAUCUAAUUUGGAUUAUGAUCACUUGUUUAGCAUACAACAUGGUUCAAAAAUAACUGACACAGAAGUAACGUAUAGCACACAUAAAAAUUAAUAGCACAAUGGGUUUCAGAUUCUGAUGGGCUUUUUUUCAGUGCAGCUACACAUAACUGAGAAUGACAAAACCCAAAAAACACAAACCGACAGCCAUAUAAUAAUGCCAUGAUGGGGACUAAUAUUUUCUCAUGGAUUUACUUUGUUGAAGCAGUUGUCAAUAUUUAAACACCAGAGAUGCUUCUUCAUCAUAAUGUUUUCAUUUCUACAAAUUCUUUAGAAAGCAGUAUCGACAUUAAUCUAGACAUCACAUAGAGGGACUACAAGUAUUCCUAGUUGUAUUCCAAUUUUUCAAAUGUUGUUUUUUUCCCAAAUUCGAUGGUGCAAUGCUAUAUUAUAACAAAAAUGAGUUUUUCGUUAUACUAGGGUCCAUGCUGUCUUUUAUGAACAGCACUAUUAUUUUUUUUUUUAAUUUAUUUUUUUUUAAUUUGAGUUAUGGGGAUACUGAAUGUCAAAAUAAUUCUGUGAUUACCUGUACUUAAAGACAUAAUAUAUGAUUUCUGGCAAAGCAAUACCCUGAUAGUUACUAAUUAAGGAUCUUUUAUUCUCUCGAAGAAUGCUCGAGGUAUCUGUUUCAGUAGCUUUAUUCUCUUGGCAUUAUUACACAGCGCUUCUAUUGCUUUCACACAUUGUUUGUAUCUGCCAAGCAGAACCAAAUUUAGCCUGAAGCCUGGGGGAAGAUGGAAGGAAAUUAUAUUAGCUAUAUGGAUGAUAAUUUGGAGGAAAAUAAAUGUUGAAAAUAUUAUGCUUAUAUUUUUGGUUGCACAACCUAUAUUGCAAAUUUUGCAUAUAUCCAUUUUGCAUAAAUGCAGAUGUCAAAGUUUACAUCAACAAACUAAGGUUGUACAUGCAAAAUGACAUCCAGAUUUUUGUAUCUACCUUUUAAUAUUACAUAUACAGCAGGUUAUGUAGGAAAAUUGACCCAACUAACAGGAAAAGUUUAGAGCACUUGGAAAAUCUGAUAUUCAAAUUAUGAUCAUUAUUAGAAAGUAUUAACAGUAUGCUGAAAAAUAAUUCUCCACAUUUUUUCUGACACUGAUGGAACAUCAAAUCUUCACUACAUAUUACAUCUUGGUGUGACACUUUUGAUAAUUAUAAAGCUUUCCAUCUGGAACAAGAAUUGUAGAUACAUUACAAAUUAAUUAUAAUUGUAUUGCCCUUCCAAACUUUUAAUUAUCACUAAAUUGGAAAUAUUUUAUUUUUCAGUUAUCAUUUAAUUUCCUUUAUGAAACUACUAAUAUUUAUAGACUUUACUACCUAAUUAGUUCUAAUGAAGAACGUAAUUUUCCCCUCAACUCUGUACUUUACAGUUAAUUGACAUAAUAUCCUACGUACUUGUUGAACUUUCUUUUUCUAUGAUAGUCAGGCCUGCUGCAUUGCAUUGUGUGAAUGUUCUUUUGUUUUAAACAGUGAUUCUAGAAGUGUAUCAGCAAAGAUGCACUUUCUUUCUUAGAUGUAUAUAGCAGUUUGCUUUUUUCCAAGCUGUCCUAAAACAUGCUUACAGUCCCUUUACAAGUCAAUCAUUGCAAAAUGAAAAGAAAAUCUGAUCUUAUUAAAAUUAUCAGACCUGUGCUGGGCUAAGCUUUCUCAGACCGUUGUCAGUACUGGUACUGUAGGGAAUACAUGGGUAGAAAUCACACUGGUCUGAAGAGAAAGUGGUGGGUGAAUCCUUAUUAAACAAUUCUUAUUAAACAAAUAAACAAACAAACAACAAACCCCAAGGAAACGCAAACCAGCUUUUUAAAUUAUUAUUAUUUCUGCAACUCUGGACACUGUCAUGUGGAAAGAUUGCUAAACCUCUAAAAUUAUUAGAAGAAAAAAAAAUAUUCAAUAUUUUUAACUAUAUUGGAAAUAUAUCUUUCAUGAAUUUUGGCAUAUGUAUGGCUGUCUCAAAUAUACGUAACUAUUUUAAAAUGUGCAUAAUGGUCAGAAAACCUCUAAAUGAACUUCUGAUUUUUCUUUUUUAUAAUUCUGUUGAUGUUCUCUAUGCCAAUAUCUCUAGGUACUGUUGCCACACUGCCAUCACCUGACAAACAUUUAAGCUUCUUCAUUCAAAAUGAUCUAAAAUAUUUAUGGUCUUGCUUGAAACACUUCUGUGGUCAAUAAGGGAACACAGUGUAACAUUUUAACUUUAUUAUGGCGUGACUACUUUAUCAUAGAUUCUUAUAUCAAAUUUCAGAACAUUGGCAUUAAACAUGUUCCCCGAUGUAACUUGUUAUACUCUUUGCACUACUAUUGAUGAUUUUAUCUAAAAACCGCACUUUAAUCAGUGGCAUCAAGUUACUUUCCAUAGCACUUAAUUGUCUAAUGUUCAAAGUGCACAUUAAAUUUGAGAAAAAACUUCUUCUCGGUAAGGGUGCCAGAGGACUGGAACAGGCUGCCCAGGGAGGUUGUGGAGUCUCUUUCUCUGGAGACAUUCAAAACCCGCCUGGCCAUGUUCCUGUGCGACCUCACCUAGGCGUUCCUGCUCCAGCAGGGGGAUUGGACUAGAUGAUCUUUUGAGGUUCCUUCCAAUCCCAAACAUACUGUGAUACUGUGAUAAAUUGAAUAACAAUUUAAGAAUUACAUUAUCCUAAAGCUAUUGAUAAAUUGAAUAGAAAAAAAUGAGUGGUUGGACUGAUAGAUUUGAUUUGCAAUAAUAAAAGAGGUAAAUAUAGCAGAUUCAGAGAAGUGGAAGUAGCAAGACAACGUGUCAGGAAGUUUUGAAAAGUUAAACUUACUGUGGGAGUAGAAGAAUCAUGUAAGAGUAUCAGUUUUUAGUAGAGAAGUUUGUGAUGAAAAUAGGAAAUAGAACCUUAUAAUUAAGAAAAAUAUUCUGAUUAAAAAUAUUCUGAAAUACUAAAAUAAUCUGUAGUAGCAGAUAGGGUGCAUUUAUGUUGGUCUGUGUGUGGCACAUUGAGUGAGGGACUUCUGUCUAACAACCUGAUGUGGAUACGGUUUAUAUUCUACUUGUUUUGUGCUUGACAGCAGAAGUGUGACAAUCAGAAUCAGAGAAAACUCACUAUUUUCUAAACAGAGUAGGUGAUAUAUUGGAAAGAUUAUUCUAGAGAAAAAGGAUACAAAAUUGUCUUGCAGUGACUGUGAAAGAUCAAUUUAGUUACAACUUAUCAACCUCUGAUUCUUAUGACUGGAUGAUCAGUUCUUACAAAAUCCUUUCUAGUGCAAUGGAAACUUGCCUAUUGAAGACUGUAGGGUUCAGCAUUCAAGACUCAGUUGCAUAAUUGGCAUAUAAUAUUUCCUGGUAUUACAGCAUUACAUUUUAGAUCAAAUUCUGUUUCCUUAUGUUGAAACCCUCCCAUCUAUAUAAUUCUUGGACAUUGCUUCCAUUGGAAAACAGACUAGAAGUUGCUUGGGUUUUGUUGUGUUUUGUUUUCUGUUUGGUUGGUUGGUUGAUUUGUUGGGUUUUUUAUAUUUUUGGUGGUGGUGGUGGUUUUUUCUUGUUUUUGUUUUUAAAUUUUCAUUACUCACAUAUAGUUUACUCACACAGACUGACUUUAGGCAACUUGCACAAAUGUCUGAAUUGUAAGGUUUAUUUCUGUGUAUCAUGUGGAAGCUAGAAUCUAGAAGUAGAAAAGUACUAAGCUGCUACUUUCUGUAAUCCUCCAGAGAAUUUAUCUCAGUCAUUCUCCAAUCUACCUCUCUGAAGGUGAAAUCACAGCAAAGAUGCAGUGUGAAUCAAGUAAUGUUUGCCUCAGUAAUGCAUUAAAUUUUUAAAAUACAGAAUUAGGUGACUAAAAGUAGAAGCUGAAACCAAUUUCUUUCAGUUAAUAUGCUAGUACUAAUGUUUCACUAAAGUUUUCAGACUCCUUUUUUCUUACAAAUGUAGUUUCUAGGAAACAAGUCUUUUAUGCAAGAAAUACUUAAUGUCAAAAAGAACAAUUUUACUGAAAAGUGUGGCUAUUGGAAAAGAGGUAAUUUUGAAAGUAUGAUUUUCAGGAAGAGGUCUUUCUCACACAAGAAGUGCAGAUACUAGAAAAGUGUGUAAAUGUUCUUCCAAUUUUAUUAAAAUUUUUGAAAUUUCCCUUAUAUUAAAUGCAGGUUGAUAUCAAAUGUAACCAGCUUCCUUUAUUACUUUGAUGUUUUUCCUUGAUAAAAGACUAGAAAAUGCUUGACAGACCCUCCCAUGGAAGUUAGAUAGAUAUUAGAAAGAUAUCACCUCUGCACCUAAAUAUUAUUUCCCAAUAAAAAUAACUGAACGCUUACCACAAAAAAAAAAAAAAAAAAAAAAAGUCCUGCUGCCACAAGGCUGCUAAAGCAGAAAAAAAAGAUCUGAAUGGAUAAAAUAUUUAUUUUUCCGACACAUUUCUUAUACCAUCUAAGUUUUGUAUGGAGCACUAUCUUUUCAUAAGAAUAGAGGUUUGCUCUCAGAAGUGUUUAGUUUCUUUUUAAAAUGACCUUCCCCACCAUCUCCUUCCCCCCCGCCUUUUUUUUUUUUUCCCCAAGUAUUUCAUGCAUGACUUUGUGGCAUGACUUGGUUCUUCAUUUAUUGAUAUUUGUAUAAAUCAAGAAUAGUUACUUUGAAAUAUUACAGUGACACAAAGUCACAGUUUUCUAGGAUGGAAGAAUUAGACUAUCUCUUGGUUCAUCAUGUCAUAGUAAAAUGAUAAAUCAAAUAGUAACUUCUGUUAUUAGAAUAACUACUAGAACAUUAAUCUAAUAGAUUUCUAAUAGUUUCUUCUAUUAACUUCUAUUAUUAUAAUAGUAACUUCUAAACUCCAUGUUUUUGACAUUCUUCCCUAAACUUCCUAAAAUUUUGUGUGUAGUAGCUGUUAUUUUUCUUUCUAGCAUGCUAGCUUUAUUCCUACAUCCAGAACUUAGCAUUUCAAUAAUACAAAAAAACCCUCAAUUCAGUUCACCUUUCAACAUUUUCCUGGAAAAGUACUACAGGAACAAGUACUUGUACUAGUGAGAUAUACCUCCAGAAAGAUACUGAUUUACACUCAAACAAUUUAAAAAUGAAUAGUUAAUUUAGGUGUUAAUCAAAUGGUAACUUAAAUCCACAAAAAAUAUUGUGUUUCAUGAAGUACUGUAAUUGUUACGUGUUUCAAGCACAAAUUACAGAUCUUGAUGUUUAGAGUUAUAAUAUGCUUAACUGUGCUUGAUUUCAUAUCAUCCUGAUUGAGUUCACUCUCCCAAAUCUUAAACCAACAUGCUGACAAAGAGGCUCUUUAUUUUCUUUUUCCCACUUUUUUUUUAAGCCUUUAUAUUUUUAAAUUAACUUCAGUUUGAAGGUCUUUGGUAUAUUACAUACGUAAGUCAAAUGCUAUCCAGGUAGUAUUGCAAAUUAGUAAUUAUUUUUAUGUUUCUUUUUUAUUUAACUCAGAUUUUCCUUAUAAGAUAGGGUUAAUAACUUCCAUAAUAAACUAGAGGUUAGAUGCUGUAAACUACAAGAAAUGUAAGUCUGUGAUAUAGAAAACUGAGACUGAAAGAAAAACAUGUUUUUCUGUUUUAGAAGGAAUAUUUUGUCUUUACAAGUGUAUUUUGCAUAGGCUGUAUGUGGAGAAGUGAGUAACACUUGCAAACUCAAAAAUGAAUAUAUUUUAAGAACAUGUUUGUAUUUACAAAUAUUUCAUCAGGAAAUCUUCUAUAAAAUGAAUAUACUAGUAAAGUAAAAGUAAGUAAUAACAUGUAAAUAUGUCUAACAUAUAUAUGUUAGAUGAGUAGGAGAAAGUAAAUAGAAAUAUGAGUUAAUAGGUUGUAAUUUAAUUUAUGGCUCUAGAUGAUAAUAUUUAACACAUCUGGAAAGACAUUUAAAUAAUUCAAUUGGAAGGAAAAAAAUAAAAUCUGUAUCAGCCUUCCUUGGGGAAAAGUAUAAAAGAGAGGGCUACCUAUGGCAAAGUUGAUUUAAGGAUCCAACCUCAUUCUCUGCUUCUGGAAGAAAGGGUCCUGCCAGCUUAUCACCACAUCUGGCAAAUUGGAUCCAUAAGAUAUGAUGCCUUGCAUACCCAUAUGUAGAGUGUUAACAUGUCUCUGUAGAGUUCAGUCAAACUUAGAAGUAGAUUAUCACAAAUUCAGAAACACAAGCAAAAGCACCGAAAAUUCUUUCCUCACUAUCUGCCAAUUGAUUAUUAGCACAACAGAAGUGCAUCACUUGCAUCUCUAGGCAUAGACCACAACACCAUUGUGUCAGGAGCUGUGUAAAGCAAUUCUUGCCCCAUACAGCUUGAAGGAUAGAUCAAGAAGUGGAGGACAGGUAAGACAAUAUAAAAUCUGAGAUGAGUAGUCAUUUUUAUUAGAGAGUUUCUAAAAAAAAUUAUUUAUAUGGGGCUAUAAAUGAGAGUGCAAUAUUAGCACUAUCAACAAUCACAGGUUUCAGAACCUGAAAACUACACAUAAUUUAGGUAACGGCGCAAUACUAAUCCCAAUGCUAUUAUUUGGACUUCUCUUUGGAAAACAAGCCAACCGCCCAUAUUCUUUUUUUUUACCUUUUUACACUGACAAAUAAGAACGCAAAGAGAACAUAUAGCUUAAAGCCAACAAUGAGAAAGCUCAGUAAUCUUCAGUUACUCAGAUGCAAGCCUAAUUUACACAGUUGUCCAGUUUAAGGUCUUGUUUGAAGAAUUAAGCAAGGCUUUGGGACUAAGUGUAGAAUUAAUUUCCUACAAUAAAAAGGGGCCUUGGGGAAGUACUUCUUUCCCUAAAAAUUGCAGACUUGUUUGUUCCUAUAAGUUUUAAAAAAUUAUGAUAUUAGAGCAUUAUUGGAUAGGUUGGAAAAGAUACAUGACAUUUUAUUUAGCCUGUAUUUGUGUGAUAAAUACACAUUAACCAUUGGGUUCACAGCCAUAAAUGGAAAAGUUUAGGAAAGAACCACCGCAAUUUUGCAUAGACAGCCAAAUAAAUAUAUAUCUAAAUAGAUAAAUAAACAAAUGCAUUAUUCUCUUGUGGAUAAAAUAUAUUUCUGAGUCAGCUUCAAAAAUUUAGUCUUAAGGUUUUUAUUUAAUUCUUCAUUUUUUUUUUCAGGAUAGCUCUUAUCAAGAGACCACCCUCCAAAGAAGAUGCAGAUAUUGUCUCUGCAAAUGUUAAGGCUCACAAGAAUAGUUAGUUACAUAAAUAUGACUCCUGUAAUUUGUGGAACCACAUUAAUGAACUGUUAUGCAUGGUUUUGUACUGGCUUUAAUAGGUUAAACCAUAAACAGAAACUGUAAGUUGAUACAGAACGUGAUAUCUUUUUGAAAGGUCAGGUAAAUAUUGUGCAUCUAGCCUACACUGAACUCCAUGCUAAGCCAGCUGGAAGAGGUAUACCCAACUGGACUCAGAGUCACAAAAUCGACUAUGUGCUAAAUAAGUCAUUAAUAAAAAUAGCCCAUUUCAUUUUAGACACAGGACGAUGUUUUUGGCAAAGGUUAACUGGUAUUAUAGAUUUUUAGAGUUUUGCUUUUUAUUUACAUGUAAAAAAUAAUUUGCAUGAAACUUUGUACCUGUGAAGUAUGUAAUUUUCACUUUGUUUAACAUCAGUUUAGUAAUGCUUUUUAUCUUGAAAAAUGUGUAUAUAACUGAUGCAGCAGAUAUGACAAUGUAAUGCUAAGCAGAAUGAGAAAAUAUGAAAAGUGUUGGAAAUAAUCUUGACAUUUAAGAAAAAUUUAUCCAUCCUACUUACCGUAUGCAGGCUAGAUCUGAAACAGAAGCAACAGCCUUUUUAAGCUAUUAGGCAAUACAGUAUUAAGUUUUAGGUAAUGGGAUCUAAACUCUGAUCUUGGGCCACAGGGUAUUUUCAUGCAUGAGAAACAGGACCAUUAGUUGUGUCUAGAACUUUUUAUUCUCUGUCUAUGGGGUUGGGAACUAAAAAUAUUGAACAACAGCUUAAAAUGGUGUCUUCAAUAAAUUAAUAAUUUAUGUUCCAUUGCAGAGUCUAAAUCUGGUGAAGAUGAAGGACAUUAAUGUCUCUUUGGUAAUACAGUAUUUUAGAAUAGUAUGUUAUGAAGAGUAAUUAUUUUGAAAAUAACAUUUUCUUGCAUUUACAUUUUAUUAACACUUUGUUACCUCAGCUACACCAACACAAGGUCAUGAUCAAACUGCACAAAAUCAAUUAGCGAUUUCACUCAUUGUUAUUAAACAGGUUAUAAAAAACAGCAUUUUGCAGAUAUAAAAGGAAAACAUUUUAUCUAGAAAAAUAUUAUUGUAUAUAUUUUUACUUUUUUAAAGAUCUUCUAUCUGAGUUCUUUGGGUGCAUUUAUGGAUUUAUCUUCUUAAUAUAGGUGUUAGAUGUUGAAGUACUAAUCCAGUUUAACUGUUAUGGAUUUGAAGUUUAUUGUUUGGAUUUCCAAAGUCUUCUAUGCUUACAUUUUGAAUUCUAUAUUAUGUUCUUAAUAUAGACAAGUCACAUAAUAUCACAGGAAAGGAAACCCUCAUACAUUCAGGUAUGGAAUUAAGACUUUUGUGAGCUGCAAUCCAGGGUUUAUUUGAAAAACUAUAAUACACUGAAGACUGCGUAUAUUAUUUGCUGAAUCAGCCAACAUUUGUUCAUCACAUAAUUUGUCCUACCAUUUGGGUAACCACUGAAAUUUCCAGAUUAUUCUUUCCAGUUCAGGCUUUUUUUAAUGAACACAUGGAUUCUAUGGUACUGAAUAGUUACUGAAGACAAGGUGUGUGUAUGUAUGAAUGAUUAAACUUGUAAAAAUAUCAAACUAUCUGCUAAAUUGUUGUAGCUGCAAGAACUUAAAAAACAGUAAUUUAAAAAAAAAUCAGCAAAGUUUUGUUAAAGUUCAGAUGUGAAAAAAUGUGAAAUACUAUUUGUUACUAACUUGUAUUUUUAACUAUUAAGUUAUUGUAACUGAAGGGAAUUCAAAAUGUUUGUAGUAAAUUCUUCUACUGCUGUUCAUAUUAACAGGUAUGCACAAAACUAUCAAACCAGACUAUAAUAGAGGCAACUAAUGUCAUGGAGUUUAAAGAGCUUUGUUGGUAAAACUGAUGACCAGGAAAAACUUUUCUCCAAUUUCUAAUGACACUUUUUGAUUUCCUUUGAUUUGGUUGUGAAGGGCCUCGGAAGUCAGCCUAAAGCACAAUGUUCUACUUUCUUAAAAAUGCAAUAUUGCUGUACAGCUUUAGUUGUGGUGAGUUUUUGGUUGGUUGGUUGUGUUUGUUGUUUUGUUGUUGUUGUUGUUGUUGUUGUUGUUGUUUUUGUUGUUGUUGUUGUUGUUGUUUUUUUGUGUGGUUUUGUUUGUUUUUUUGGGGUUUGUUUUUGUUUUUUUCUUUUUGGUUGGUUGCCUUGAUUUCAGGGUUUUUUUGUUGUUGCUUUGGUUUGUUUGUUUUUAAUUGUAAUUGUUUUAUUUUGUAUUACAUCCAAACAGCUGUCUGAAAAAGAUCUUUACUUUUACAAUAGGCAGUAGCAAUGAUGUAUUAUUGACUGCCCUCUCUCCUUUUUUUGGUAUGAUUCUGUCUUCAUAUGUGCUAGGAACAUGCAACCCAGUGAAUCUAUCAGGGAUUACAGUAUCUCAUAGAUUAUAAUAUUUCAUGACAGUAUUUAAAGUGUAUAAUUCCUUCUUCAAACUUAACAUCCUCAUUCCUGUGUCAUCAUAGUGUGUUCCUGAUCAAUAGGUUCAGCACCAGGAGAACUCCAUCAGUUUAUGCAGAAGAACAUGACACAUGCUUUGGAAUGCUUUAAACUCAGCAUAAAUUUUAAUAGAACCAGUAAAGCCAUUGCUGUAGAAAAUUCCUUUUCUGGUGUGAAAAUCUGGAAAGCAGGCUUGCUCCCCUUCCCAUAUUCAGGUGCAACACUGGAUACUGCUGAUCUGCAUUUUCCCAUCAAUGUCUACAGAAUAAAAGCUUUUUCUUAUAUGGGCAAGCUCUCAUGAACAUAAGAACAGCCAUACUGUUUCAGAUUUAGGGUCCAUAAUCUCGUAUUCUGUGUAGACCAAUGGCCAUAAAUGGAUGAUUGAUAUAAGCAGGAACAGAGAACGUAUAUUUGAUACACUCACCUAACACUUUUUCAGAAUCAUUCCUACCAAAAUUAUUUUUAACCUUGUAAGUCUUUUGAAGUCUAUUUAUUUUUUAGUUACUUAAUUAGUCUCACUGAAUUUCCCUUCCAAGUCCAAAUCUUAAAAAAUAUUAUUCUCCCUAUGUGUUGAAAUAGAACACACAGUUGUGCUGCAUGAGUGUCGAAAUUCUGCUUUUCACGUGUCUUGAAAAGGGCAGCAAAAGUCACCUUAGCAAGAGGACAAGGUUGCUAACUUUCCGCUCACAUAUCAUUAAUCCUAUUAUUCCCCUCUCAAAUAUAUCUAACACUUCCCCUCUUGCAGUGAUGAAAGUUCAGACCCCUGCAGCUCUGAACCUUGGAAUUAUUCUUUAGUUUCUCUGCGUCAUUCCACCUUAUCUGGCUUAGAGGCUUCUUAUCACUUUCAGUGCUUUAAUAUGAUCACCUUAGUUUUUGGUUUUGUUUUUGUUGUUUAUUUUUUUCCCCCAUUUUCUAAAACAAACAAACAAACAAAGUAAAAGUAGCACAUAGAUAAAACUGAACAGGUGUAUAAUGAAACUAAUUUUGUACCAGAUUCUGCCAAAAAGCAGACAAAUAUGUUAAAAAAAAAAAAAAAAAAGGAAUAGGCCAAAAAUAUUCUAACUAAUUCAUAAAAAUAUGGGCUCUAUUAGUUUUAUUAUCAAUUCUAAUAGAUAUAAUAACAAGUCGCAGAAAGCCAAGGCAGGGACUGUGAGAAUGAAGAACUGCUCACUGUAGAAGAUCAUGUUUGAGACCAUGUUAGGAACUUGAAGGCGCACAUGUCUGUGAGACCUGAAGAGAUGAAUCUGUGAGUCCCGAAGAAACUGGUGGAUGAAGUUGUUAAGCCACUAUCCAUCAUAUUUGAGAACCUGUGUCAGUCUGAUGAAGUUGCCACUGACUGGAAAAGGAGAAACAUAACCCCCAUUUCUAAAAAGUAAAAAAAGGAAGACCUGGGAAACCAGAGGCCAGUCAGUCUUACCUCUAUGGCCAGCAAGAUCAUGGAACAGAUCCUUCUGGAAACUACGCUAAGGCAUAUGGAAAAUAAAGAGGUGAUUGGUGACAGCCGAGAUGGUUUUACUAAGGCAAAUAGUGCCUGACAAAUUUGGUGGCUUUCUACAAUGGGGUUACAGUGUUCGUGGAUAAGGGAAGAGAAACUGACAUCAUCUACCUGGAUUUGUGCAAAGCUUUUGACACUGUACCAUGUGAAAUCCUUAUCUGUAAAUUGAAGAGACAUUGAUUCAAUGGAUGGAGCACUGAGUGGAUAACAAAUUGGCUGGAUGGUUGUACUCAAAGAGUCAAUACCCAAGUGGAGACCAGUGACAUGUUGUGUCCCUUAGCAGUUGGUAUUGGGACAUGUUUAACAUCUUUUUUGGUGACAUGAACAGUGAGAGUGAGCUCAUCCUCAGAAAAUUUGUGGAGAACAUCAAGCUGUGUGAUGCAGUCAAAACACUGGAGGGAAGGGUCCAUCCAGAGGGACCUUGACAGGUUAGAGAGGUGGUCCCAUGCAAACUUCAUGAAGCUCAACAAGGCCAAGUGCAAGGUCCUGCACAUGGGUCACGGCAAUCCCAAGCACAAGUACAGUCUAGGUGGAGCAUGGUUUGAGAGCAGCUCUGAUGAGAAGGACUUGGGGGCAUUGGUUGAAGAGAAGAUCAAUAUGAGCUGGCAAUGUGCUCUUGCAGAUCAGAAAGCCAACUGUAUCCUGGGCUGCAUCAAAAGAAGUGUUACUAGUUGGUUGAAGGAAAUGAUUCUCCUCCUCUACUCCACUGUUUUGAGACUCUGGAGUUCUACAUUUGGCUCUGGGGCCCCCAACGUAAGAAGAACAUGGAUUUGUUUGUGCAUGUCCAGAGAAAGGCCACAAAGACGAUCAGAGGGCUGGAGGACCUCUCCUAUGCAGACAGGCUGAGAAAGCGGGGGUUGUUCAGCCUGAAGAGGGGGCUCCAGGGAGAUCUUAUAGCAGCCUUCCAGUACCUAAAGGGGGCCUACAAGAAGGCUGGAGAGGGACUUUUGAAAAGGGCAUGUACUGAUAGGACAAGAGGUAAUGGCUUUAAACUGAAAGAGGAUAGAUUUAGAUUAGACAGAAGGAAGAAAUUCUUCACUAUGAGGGUGGUGAGGGUGCUGCCCAGAGAAGCUGUGCAUGCCCCAUCCCUGGGAGAGUUUGAGGCCAGGUUGGACAGGGCUUUGAGCAACCUGGUCUAGUGGAAGGUAUCCCUUCCCAUGGCAGGAAGUUGGAAUUAGAUAAUCUUUAAGGUUCCUUCCAACCCAAACUAUUCUAUGAUUCUAUGUUAAAAUAGUGCCAGCAUAAAAUGGUAGUAAGAAUUUUCAUUGUAGGAUCUCUCUUCUUCUAACUGUAGAAUCUGAGUGCUGCCACUUAAAUAUGUCUAGCUAAGUCAGUGAUGAAUUUGCUAGAUCAGAUUUUCAGAUGGUAUAAAUUACUGUAAAAUCAGUAGUACCAUAGUAGGAAUAUUGAUUUAUUUGUGCUAGAAAGAAAAUCCCAUCAGUUUUCCUAUGUUAGAAGAAACUUUAUUUGUGAUGAACAUGCAUUGUUUCUCUGUUGAGACCACUGUUUUAUCUGACAAUCCCACUUCUGUAACUUUCUCUCCUGUAGUACAGGAAAGGUGUAAAUAUACUUCAUGAAAUGUAAUGCAAUAUAAAGUAUGAUGCUGCUAUAUUUAUAAUAUCUUUCACCCUGGAGGAUUCCAAAGUGACUUGCAGAACACAAAAAAGACUCUGCAGCCUGGCAAGAUUUUUAAAUGUUUAUCAUGAUAUGCUAGAAUAAAUUAGGUACUUAAGUGAAGGGCUUCUUCUUUUUUUCUUUAUUUUUUUUUUUAAUGACAAUAAAAUCUUACAAAAAAAAAAAAUGACCAAAACUCCAGGGUAAAUGACCAUAGGAUUUAUUUUGGCUGUAACCUGUAAAAGAUAUCAGCAUUAACAAUCUUGUUCUUCCCAUGGGAUCUUAUAAUGCCUGUAAGCUUUUCAGUUGAUGGUUUCAUUUGUCAGCCAUUAUAUACAACAUGUAAUUUAGAACACUGAGGUAAUAUACUGAUAUUCUAAGAUCACAAAGGAAAAUGCCACUAUUAAAUCACCAGAAUUCAAGUUAGUAGCACCUGCAGGUUCAGCAGGGACAGGUUUUUUCAGCUUCACAGUAGCCAUCUAAAAGCAAGGGUUCUUACCUUAGGUCAGUCUCCUACAGACAGCGGAGGAAGAAAAUGCCUCCGCCAAAUGGGCCCUUCAGUUCCAGAAGGACAGGGAACUGCUGGAAAGAGUCCAGCGCAGGGCAACAAAGAUGAUUAAGGGAGUGGAGCAUCUCCCUUAUGAGGAAAGGCUGAGGGAGCUGGGUCUCUUUAGCUUGGAGAAGAAGAGACUGAGGGGUGACCUCAUUAAUGUUUACAAAUAUAUAAAGGAUGAGUGUCAUGAGGAUGGAGCCAGGCUCCUCUCAGUGACAACCAGUGAUAGGACAGGGGGUAAUGGGUUCAAACUAGAACACAAGAAGUUCCACUUAAAUUUGAGAAGAAACUUCUUCUCAGUAAGGGUAACAGAGCACUGGAACAGGAUGCCCGGGGAGGUUGUGGAGUCUCCUACUCUGGAGACAUUCAAAACCCGCCUGGCCGCCUGUGUAACCUCAUCUAGGUGUUCCUGCUCUGGCAGGGAGAUUGGACUAGAUGAUCUUUCAAGGUCCCUUCCAAUCCCUAACAUUCUGUGAUUCUGUGAAAUGUUCUUUAUCAACCAACCACAGAGUUACCUAAGAGGAUGUUAAUGACAAAAUGGGCAGCUUCAGAUGUUUAAAGUUAAAUAUGAUGAAUCCCAAACUCAGUAACUGCUGAAUCAAAGCACAAAUUUAAUCUUAUGUAUGACUGGAACACAAUAAAAAGUCAGAAGUAGAAAAGAGUUCAGUAAAAAUCUGCUGUUGAUACACAGUGGGAGAGUUAAAAAAUUGAUGUUUUCCACUGUCCCAUGCAUUCCCAAGGGCUACAGGAACUGAUUUUAAAUUCUUGCUCAGCCUGCCUGAUGAUUUAUUUAUUGCUUUCUUCCAUGCUGCUGCAAGGGAGGCAUGUACAUGGAUGCAAAACAUCAGACUUGAGUUCAGGUAAACUAAGACACUAAUGAUACCCUACAGAAAAAAGCAGUUUGAAGAACUGGACAGAAUAUUAAUCUCAUUUUUCUUUUAAUAAUCUUCUAAUGAGUAAUCAUUUACAAAUAAAAUCUAAUUCAGAGUCAUCUUAGACUACUAUUCUUUCCAUCAAUUUUUUGGAUGAUCCAGUGACACCAGAGAGCCUUCCUGCAAGCUUAGCUUAACAACAGUAUAUGCUCAGCUUUCCUGGAGGAGAAGGCACCUUCAGAGAUUAUGUACCUUUGUCACGUCCAUGUUCAGUGCAGAGUAAAAAAGCUCCUUACUGGCAGGAAAGAGCUUAGUAGACAUGCAGUAAUGGCUAGGGCCUUUUUAUUUUGCCAAAACACAUAAUAAAAUAUAAUUAUACUACUACUAAAAUGUUACUGUUUCUUGAUCUUGCUUUGUCCAUCUAUGACUCUGCUUUAAGCAAGAAAUAGUAUAGUUCAAUGCAUCUCAACUAAGCAUAUAUCCAGCUGAAGGCCUUAGCCCCUAUGUAUAUGACCUUGACUCAGUUAAACUAUUGAAAACAUGGUUAAAAACAUGCCUCUGAUGUACCUUCUUGAAUCAGACACUGAUGAUUUAAUAUGUUGGAGAUGCACUGCUGUACGACUGGAGGCCAGUAAUUUUCGUAAUAAAUGACAGAGUUCUUGCUGCCUCAGCUGUUUUCUAUUUAUUUAGAAUCACACAAUUGUUUAGGUUGGAAAAGACCUUUAAGAUCAAGUCCAAAUGUUACCUAGCACUGCCAAGUCCACCACUAAACUAUGUUCCCUAAGCACCACAUCUACAGCCCAUUAGCAAUCACAGAAUGCAAUAUGCAACAUGCAACAGAGAACCAGAGAAGAAGCGUCUUCUUUCACUUCAUGACCAUUGUAAAAUCAGCCCCAAAAGUCAAGUGAUUAAAAAGUAUCUCAUGUUUCCUGAAGUAACUAUUACAUUGCAUGAUAUUUUUAGAUUGGUUUGCAUCUUUGUCACUACUUUUGAUUGCAGAAGUGAUCUUUAAAAUUUUAUCAAAGAGAGAAUCUGGAGAAUCUCUUAAAUCCUCAAUUCAAAAGCAAUAAUGAAAAACCAACAAAAUAAACAGUUUUUAAGUCAAUAAUAAAACAAAACCCCACAACAAAGUAUUAUGUUAUUUUACAUUCCACAAAAAGUGAGAUCUACAGCAACUCUAGAGUUACAGUGUUUCCCAGUCAACUCAGGUAAACUCACAUUAAACAUUCCUGACCUUGCAAUAGGCUACACUUGGUUUAAUUUCAUUUUAGGCAUAUGAACUAUAAUAAAUCCGAAGAGCAAAGAAACAGAGUGACAUAUUUGUCACCUAUACAAACUUUUAUUUUGCAAACUGAUCUAAAAGCAUCCUUUGAAUUCUCAAGUUAAUAGAAUUAUGACCCAAUAUUUUAUUUCAUUUUGAUCAGUCCUUUCCCUUUAAAUAUUUUUUUUUUAAUAAAUCUUUACUUCUACUGUUGAUUUCUUCUGAACAUGUAGAGUAUUUAGUAUUAUCUAGAGAACAUAAUGAUUAAAAUUGUAAGCAAAAGCUAACAUAAAGCUUUAGGAUUUCCCAUAAUGCACAACUAAGUACUUUACUCCCUUGCACAAAAUUCUCAACGAAUGUUCGUAAGUGUCCCUCAGCAACACUCUGUUGGAACAACUGUGGAACAUUCUGAACAUUUCCACCAUCUUCAAGUGUGCCUGUGACAGCAACAGUUUGUACUUUGUCUGCAGUGGCUUCUCCAAAAUGCCAUCGUUCUUCUUUUCUCUAUGAAUACCACUUUUUUUCUGUGGAUUUUUUUUUUUUUUUUUUUUUUACUUUUUAGAUUAUUGAACAGAAGUAUUUCUACUCAAGAUAUCAGCAUUGCAAUGUUGAUGCAAGUUUCAGUGAAUUAAUUAACAGCUGUUCUUUAACUCACCUAAUUUUAAUAAUCAGAAAGUCACCUAAUUAAAGUUAGUAAUUUGGGGGUUUUGGUAGUCAGUAAACAGAUAUUAAAUUAGUCCUUUGUAAAGAGCUCUGGGGCAAGUUCAUCUUUGCUGGCUGUCAAGUGCCCACCAGGCUGAUCUAUCACUCCCUCUUCUCAGAAGGACAGGGGGAUAAAAUAUGCUGGAAAUCUCAUGGCUCAAGAUAAUGACAGAGAGAUUGCCCACCAAUACCAUCACAGGCAAUCCAGCCUUACUGUGGCAAAAUUAUAUAAGCUUAUUGCCAAUUAGUAAUAUUACACUCCUGCAUGGGCUCUCCAUGGGCUGCAGAGGAAUCACUGCUCCAGUGCAUGGAGCACCUCUUCCCCCUUCUUCUUCACUGACCUUAGUGUCUACAUAAUUAUUUCUCUCCCAUUUUCUCACUCCUCUCUCACAGCUGCUGUGCAGCAUUUUUACACUUUCAGAAAUAUGUUAUCAUGGAGGUGCCACCAAUGGGCUCAGCUUUGGGUCCAUCUUGGAGCCGGCUGAUAGCCUCCCUCCUAUCAAAACCUUGCUAUAUGAACCAAAUACAAGCUUGGAGGAAGAGACAGGGAGCUGCUCCUGUCCGGCCCUCCCUCUAGCCUAGUCUCAGCCCAGCACUAUAGGGAAAAGGGAUAAACACAAAGCAGGAGAUAAAAGAUAUUUUUGAGCAGGUUUUGCAUAAAAGCAAAAUAAUAUAGAUAUUAAAUAUAUAUAUAUAUACAUCAGAGGACUGUGAUUUCUCUCAUUUUAUUAGGAAUAGAAACAAAUAAAAUCUAUUUUUAUGGAAGAAUUUGAUUGCUUUACGGAAGAACUAUAUAAUGAAAUAGUUUGCAACAGCUAUUACUCAUAGGCUUUCAGGAUUUUUUUUGCUUAGCAUUGGCAUAAUUGCCAUGCCCUUUAAUAUAUUAAACAACAGCAAGCUGUUCUGCCUUCUUGCUAGAUUUGUAUUUGGAUGCAGAUGCAACCUUUUUACUUUCACUCUUAUUAAAUUCCAUCUGCAAACACCAACAUGAACCUGACCUAAAUGUUAUGUAGUUAUAUUUUCAAGAGCUAAAAGGGUAUCAUCAGCUUUUAACCUUAUUUUAAUGUUCUGGUCCAAGUCACUGUUCUUCCUCACUUUGUCACAGCACCAAAAAGCUCAGAGAAAGCUGGCUAACCAUAUAAUGUCUUAUCAACUACAGCUACAUGUCACCAGCAAAGUAGCUUACAGUGGUAAGGACAAACUCUGCCUUUGGACCCUUUUUGUUUGUUUGUUUUCAACUGAUUUACUGGGUAAGUUACCCAAAAACUGGGGAGAGAGAUUUCAUUUAAUGUUUUAAAUGUUUUCAAUGUUUUUAAUUAAUAUUAUUCAAAUAUUGAAGCAAAUGGAUUUGCUUACUAAACAUACAAAAAGCACAUAAUCUUUCUGAAUAAUUACUCCAGUGUUUUUCUAUACAUUAAAUAUCACAGCAAGUGAUUUUGCAGUGCAGUUAAAUGUGAAUCAUUCAAUUCAGUAGCUAACUACUUGAUUUGAAGCUAUAUGACCUCAACUAUCACUCUAAAACACUUUACACCACUUGCAUAACAAAAGGUAAUUUUUUAUUCCCUCGAAGCAUUCAGUCCAGGCUGGAGAACUGAAUACUGGAGUUAGUAAUUUCUGUGUUUAGAAAAGAGAUAACUUGAAAGACAUUUUUCUGAAGGUAUAAACUGCUGUUUUCUCUAUGAAUAUUAAAAAAGAAAUAAGUAUUUUUCACAGGAGAAAAUUAGCCAACUAAGUUUUCUGCUCUAAUGCUGUAUAAGCCCUGUUAUGCACUAGUCCUGUAAAGUACAAAAGACUGUCUUUUAAGGAUUGUAAUGACCACAUAUUCAAUAAAGCAUAAUUUGUACAUUAUAUUCAUAAUAGAGGUUUUCAGCAAAGAAGUUAGCUUGAUCAAAAUCAGAGAGCAUUUCUGGUACAUUUUUGAAAUGAAAGUAGAGAAACCUAGUAUAGUUUAACCUAACUCAUUAACUGACUCACUUGUAAAAAGAUGGAAGAAACACUUAAAACAUUAUCCUCGGGUACACUGGGGAUAUAACUUCAAAAUUAUUGAAACUAUUCAUCAAUUUGAUACAAAAAUGCAAAUAUGGAUGUCAAGUAAUUUUUACUUUUUAUGUACAAAUAAAUAAUAUGAAAAUUGUAAAGAGGAAAAAUAUUUGUAUUUAUAAGAAGAAUAAUUGAUAUUACUAAAUUGUGUAAGGUUUCAGUAGAAUUAAUUACAACAGAAAGCAAGGAGAGUUUCCUUUACAAAUAGUUAAGCAUACAUAUGAAAGAAUCAAAAUAAAUUACCAUGUUGAAAAGGCUAAAUCUAAUCCAAUCUUUCUGAGCCAUGAGAGAGUUUUUGGCAGCAUAAUACAGGGAUUCAUUUUUGGACCACUGCUGUUUCUUCAUAUAAACUAGUAAAUAAGUGAUACUUGAAGAUAAAGUAUUCUCAAGUAAAAUAAUUUGGAAUUUUAACUUAAAGAAGCUAAUCCUAAAGCCCAAGAUCUACAGGCAUGCGUGAAACCUUAGCAAAAUACUGUAAGCACUAACUUCGAUUUCUUAUUCAUUGUCUUACAUAUUCUGUAAUUUUGACAUUGAAGGAGUAUGAUGAAAGCAGGUUCUGAUCACAUUGUUGAUAUAUAGGAAAGGCAAACUAUGUACCUGAGAUGAGGUUUACAUAUUUGUAGUUUGGGUGGUGUGUCUGAUACACACAGCUUAACAUAUUUAUGAGAGCUCAAGAACAGUUUCUCAGAGUGAGGAUAAAACUGAAAAUUGCAGCAAAUAGAAAGCAAAGAAAAACCCAGGCUGUUUUGUCCUAAUAAAAAGUUUUAUUUUCAGAGCUUUACUUACUUUUAACUAUGUAAUGAGGUUAUUUUCUUAAUAGAAUUUUGAAACAAAUUCUUAGUGGAUUCUUGCGAUCUAAUUACAGUCACCUUGUUGAAGAGUCUAAGUUAGAAAAACUACAUGGAAUCUAAAAUGUCUAAAUCAUACAUCUAACUUGGACUUGCCAGGUGGUCUGAUUAUCAGUAUGUAUUAGGUUACCAUACUGGAGUGCUAAUACACCAUGAAAGGUCAUAUACAUUCAGCUUCUAGAAUCUGCAGAAUCUGUUCCUCUACAGACAAUCAGGGAAAAAAAAAAAAAAAAAAAGGCAGAUCAACUAUAGUAUUAUUAAUCUAAAUAUGUAUUUAACAAUUAACCUCAGAUUUUAACCUAUUUUAACCUAGAUUUCCAAAUAGGGAUCCAUAUUGUGGUUUAUGAAUUAAUAUCAGAAGUACUUUUGAAAGAUAAUGCGAGUAAGCAAAAGCCUAAAAGGCAGAUUCAAUAAAACAUCUGGUGAGAGAUUUUUCUCUACAAGUUUAAGAAAUCCACAAUGUCAAUAUGACACAGUUAUUCAGGCUCUUUUAUAGCCAAUGGAGGGAAACAGACUUUUAAAGGGCACAAAUAAUUUGAUUUAUCUGCUGAAGGAUGAAAGGAAUCACAUUCUGAAACAGCCUCCUCUUGCCACCAACUAAACCAAAAGAACGGGAACUCUAACUAAUUCAUUCCAGUUAAGACUUUACAGAGGAGAUUUUAGUGACUGGACUUUAUUGCAUAAACAUAUGCUUUUAUCACCUAUUGAGAUGAUCUUGUGUACCUGAGACUGGCUACUGAAGCUGGCAGAUAAACCCCAUGACUUCUGCCAUUCUGAACUGCCCACUAGAAAUCUAACAGUAUGUUCAAAGGCACCUUAAAUGCCACUAAACAUCUGAGUUUAAGUAAAUUAAUUUAGCCGUUGAAAACAGUUUCAAAGACAAAAAACUAAAAGGCUCAUUUAAAUAAAAUGAUGGCAUUACAGCAGAAGUGAGAAGGACAGAAAUUGCUAACCAUCUUAAAUGUUUGCAUGCUAUAUUUUUAUGUGAUGAAGGAUCACAAGACAAAUACCAUGUUCCUUAGACCAUCAAGGAGGUUAAAACUUCCUGGGAGUCUAAAACAUAUCUCCUGGAGAUACAAACAAAUCCUUAGAGUUGCUACUCCCUCAUUACAGAAUGGUGAUCUAAGUGGACCUCAGAACUAAAAAUAUGUUAGGCUUGAAUGCACCUUUUUAAAAAUAAAAUAUUUGUUGUUGUUGUUGGUAGUGGUGUUGCUGUUUUUGUGGGUGUUUUUAGUUUUGGCUUUGUUUUUUUUGGGGGGGGCUAGUGAGAAAAUUCUUCUACUGGAGAUUCUGGCAAUUUAAAUAUGUACAAAAUGGGCAUCUCAGUCUGGAUAAGUCAUCUAAAUUCUUUUGUGCUCAGUAGAUAGCUAUGGGCAAAUGAAAGGUGCAAUUCAUUUGGCAAUUUAUCUUGCUUGACAGGUCUCAUUUCAUCCCUUCAUUGGCACCGGUCAUUACAAUCCCUCUGGCAGUUACAUGACACAGCUUGAGCACAGGAGCUGUGUUUGACUUUCUUAUGAGCUGCACUACACAAGGCAUAAGCAAAGAUUAAAUUAGUCUCCCAAGAACUCAGAUUGAAAAUCUGGGGGAGUGCAACAAAAAGAAUUCAUUGUGUUAGAGUGAUUAAUCUCUCAAAGAUCCCUAAAAAUUUAAAUCUACCACAAUGCUUUGUAAAAAAAAGUUUUUAAUAUAUUCUAGAGAACAUCCUUAUUCUAUCAGAAAGACCUCUUUUUACAGUCUAAGUUCUAUAAUGGUUGAGCUGAAUUUAAACAUAGUAAAAUAUAUAUGAGGGACUGAUUAUAGUGCAUGGAUUUCUGUGAUAUCUGCACAGAUAAGUGUUAUAUAAGGAGAAAUUUGUAAGUAAAAUCAAAACUACAAACAAAAAGUGUUUCUGACAUCUUAAAUCAUAUUCCUUGUUCUGCAAAGCUGUUCUUUGUAGCAUUUUCAUUUUCAUAUAAUCUCUUAAAAAGAUUCAAUAUUAUAUAUAUCUAUGUUUUAGUUUACUUCGGCCAUUUUAAAUGUGCAUGUCAUCAUAACUUGGUGUUAUCAAGUAUUACUAUGUUAUAAUGGUCUAAAGAAAAAUAAGGAUGCAAAUAUUUUAACAGUAAGUUUUCAAACAGAAUAUGUUUCAUUAGCUAAAUUAAGCAUCAGAUUUAAUUUGAAUUAAAUUUUAGUAGAAUUAUGUUCUAGAUUUUAUUUGGGUCUUUGCCAGUGUCUUCUAAAAUAUUUUCAUCAUUUUACAAUUAUUUAUUGAAUCAGUUAUGUCAGCAGGAUUGUUCUCUCAAUUACUGAGUGCUGGAAAAGCACUAGGAACAUCACCUAAGUCCUUUGAACAAAAUUAUUUUGACUCUGGAUAUUCUGAAUUUCAUAGCAGCACAGAAGAACAUGUAUUUUGCAUGAACAUAAAUAUAAAAGAUUUGUCAAUGUAUUAUUUGAAACAGAAAUCUAAGUGGAUGCAAUCUGCUCAAAUUUGGAAAACAAAACAAAACAAUAACAAAGAAUCUUGUGUGAGGUAAGAGAUUUAAUUGAUUAAUGAACUUCCUGUACUGUUCCAUCUUUAUAACAGAAUUUUAUAUGUGAAUUCUGGAAGAUCAAAAGUGAGCUUCUGGCAUGGAUUCAUUUUUUCUAACUUAGUAUUCUUAAUUAUAUUCCUACAUUUUGGGCAGAUUAAUCCAGGCACAUCAGGCUUCCCUAAAUAAACCUUUAAAAAUGUUCAAACUAUAAUAA